AAAAUAAAAUUUGAUUUUAAAAAAAUUUAAUUUUUAAACUAGGAUUAGAUACCCUAUUAUUUUAAGCUUAAUGUUGGUAGUAAGUAAAAAUUAUGAAAUCAUAAAAUUUUGGCGGUAUUUUAAGCUUGUUAGAGGAAUUUGCUCUAUAAUGGAUACAACGCCUAUAUCUUACUUAAUUUUGUAAUUAAAGUCAGUUUGUAUACCACUAUAUUUAAUUAUAUUGAAUAAUUAUAUUUGAGAUUUUUAUAUAAAUAUAUAUUAAGUCAAGGUGCAACAAAUAAUUA
rnacentral:rRNA from 1 species